CAAUAGCGUAUAUUUAAGUUGCUGCAGUUAAAAAGCUCGUAGUUGGAUUUCGGGUGGGAAUGGCCGGUCCGCCGUUUCGGUGUGCACUAGCUACGCCCACCUUGCUGCCGGGGACGUGCUCUUGAGUUCACGCUCGGGACACGGAGUCGGCGAGGUUACUUUGAGUAAAUUAGAGUGUUCAAAGCAGGCCUACGCUCUGAAUACAUUAGCAUGGAAUAACACGAUAGGACUCUGGCCUAUCUUGUUGGUCUGUAGGACCGGAGUAAUGAUUAAGAGGGACAGUCGGGGGCAUUCGUAUUUCAUUGUCAGAGGUGAAAUUCUUGGAUUUAUGAAAGACGAACUACUGCGAAAGCAUUUGCCAAGGAUGUUUUCAUUAA
rnacentral:rRNA from 1 species